UCCUGAGCGGCGGUUAUUAGCCCUAAGAUACACUUAGCUCGUUAGCGCCACAUCCCAUAAUGACAUUUUCAACUCGUGUAUGUGGUGUAUUUUUAUAGGACGUGGGGGAAGCCGUUCUGUUUUUGCGAUUCUCAAAUGGAACUGUCAUUCGUGUACUUUGUGUCCAACUGUCAGUUUUGUUUUCACCCUCUUCGACCCUGAGACGUGGCUUAUCUUGAGGCUAAAGGGGUUAGCAUCGGUGUUAGCCUGCCUGCUAAUCCCCUAAACACUUGCCUUUGGCAGGUUGAACCGGUCCACUGGCGGAGUCAGAAUGUUUAAAAACAACAAUCUCAGCUGACCAUUCAAUGAUAAUCUCACCAAUGUUCUCGGGACACGCCGUUGAACAAGUUCACGGCCGAACAAAUGACUGAGUUUAUCUGUGAAAUUGUAAAACAGUCUGAGUCUAUACUGCCUUGCGCAAUACCCAGAGUCAAUGUUUUGUUACAGUGGUAUUGAACAACGUAUUUGUCCAGUCACCGUUAUACAGUCUUAGUCAGACUAAUCGAUGUAAUGGUUCGAAUUUUUUAAGUGUUUUUAACUGAUGGAUAAUGGCCCAAAAAUGGGAGUUGAUUUCAAGGGUCAUGCGUAAGAUAAGACUGGACAGAAUAAACUGUAGACUGUGAAACGUCUUCUUUUAGAAAAUUCACGUCCAGUUGCCUAACUUUUUAAACUUGACCAUGACCUGGAUGACUGAGAAUCUUCAUAGACAUGUAGACUGUUAGCAUUUCUACCACAGGUUUACUACCUUUAUAUAAUGACACAGUCAUUUAUACCUACAAUGAUUUCACCAGGCACUACAUUAGCUUCUUUGAGCACCACGGUUAAAGUAUCACACAGGAUGAUACCAGGAUUUAUAAAUCACUUUGAUUAAAUUCAUCAGUACUUGUUUGGGCACCUGAAGCUGUUUAGGGAGAAGGAUGUAACAUGUUAUGAAAGAGCUCCUUACAUGCACCAGUGGCUUCUUGAAUCUCAAUCUACAGUGUAGCUCAGAUCACGACAGCUGACAUCAACCACCGGACAAAUGUUUUUGACUUUUGUAUGUAACCACUGACUUAAUUUAAUCUGUUUGAACUGGAUUGGCAUCAUUUUCUUAGAUGCAAGUUUAAAUACUGGUUAAUAUACUGUACACACAGACCUUAAAAUUAAAAACUGAAAGAGUGAACGCAAGACUCUUUAAUUAACAACAAGAUUCUUAUUGUUGUAAUCCAGGCAGGAACUGAUGACUGUGCGUCCGAGGCCCUUACUGGCUGAUAUGACUAAUUCCAUUUUAAUUGGGUUGGAUCAAAAAUAUAUUUUUGAAAGCUCAAUAAUAUGGUGGUUUCUUUUCUUUUUUAAAUUAAAUGCUGUCAUCACCACAUCUUAGUCAGUUCUAUUAAUAUAAUGCCACCAGCCGGAUCUAGGGGUGGCUCCAGUCCACCAUGUUGUUCCAUACUGAGUCACUUCUCAAACCAGAGGACCACUUGUGGACUACUUCUUACCCACAGAGCUGGUAAAUCUCUGCUUCAACCAUCUGAGUCCUUCAUUGCCCACCACUGAAUAUUUCCUCAGAUCUUUUGUUGAUGUUUGUCCCCCUAGUCAGAGGUGAAGCUGGGUUGUUAGGCCUCCUUUGACCAUUUGGCCUGGAGUUUCUUUUUGUAUUUUUAUAGCUGUCCCAAAGUUAGGUGGCUUCUCAUAAUAUUUAUAGUCCUUGAAAAUGUAGGUCACCGCCACCUGGCUGCAGCCACAGAAAAUGUUUUUGUUCUAUCAUUACUUGUUUCUUGGCAUGAAUCUCUUCUUCACAUUCUACACAGCAUUAAAAGCAUCUGGAGCUACAGCACAAAUAAUAAUGGGCACAAAUGUUCAUUUCCCUUCUUUAUUUAACACCAUCUACUCACUUCAUAUCACCUUAACAAGCAUACAGGAGAGAGGGUUUCUUCACAAUCUCCUUAACGCCGCGACCACUUCCGUGCGCGGCUUCAUUUAUUAUUUUUAUUGUCCUGCUGUAAGGUGCAGCGUUCAGCUCUGUCUACUUUACAUGCAUUAUUUAUUCUUUUCCACCGUCCUGGCAGAGACUUCCAGUGAACUUCAUCUGGUCUUGUUCUAGGUGGAGAAGGUGAAACACGCCACACUGUUCUCUCACAGUACCUACUGUAGGAGAGAAUUCAAAUGAACACGGGCGGAUUAUUAAACUUGGAAGUUGUGAGAGUGAACAGGUAGUACAGCAGUAGGCUGAUCAGGAGGCGCCCUGAGCCUCAUCAGUAUGUAGGAGAACUGGUUUGUGGUGAUUGUUGCAUGUUAACGGAACUGUGGCUAAUUUGUCAAUCGUAGCCUAUUUAUUUCAAGGGUGUUUUUUUUAUUGGUUUAUUCUUUCACAUUCUUACACAAGUGUUUCAUCUUAGAUUUGCAGCACACACACCAGAUAGGCUAGUUUCCCUACGUCACACUCUGUAAGAUGUGUGUUUCAGCAGCAUUAGCGUCCGCACUGACAGGAAACGACUUGAGUUGAAGCGGUGUCAUCACUCUUUUUUCGGUUUGCCAUAUGAUCUGCCCAACUGGUGGAAGCCGAUCUAUCAGACAGUUGUCCAAUCAUGUGCCUUUCGUUGUAAUGAUGUCACCACAGAGUUGGGGCUGUUGUAUGAAGCUGAAUCUCAACUAUUGUAUUUACUCCAGUGUGUGAGCACCGGUACAGUAGGCUAUGAUCAGAUACUACAAGAUUAUACAGGGGAUUGUUUGCGCGACUGAUUUAGACAUUUUCUCUUGUGACACUGAGAUGGGUUAAUGCUGUGAUUUAUUUGCUCCUAAAUCACUGGAGUUACAGUUAAGAACAUACAGAUCAUAUCGAGGUUAUAAAAACACUGCAGGAUACUAACAUUUUUCCUGCACUUCAAGGACCAUAUUUUAAGCAAUCUAUUAAAAAAGAAUUUAGCAAUGCUACAACAAAAGCCUGGUACCUUCUCAAGCAGUGCUGCCCUUGGACUGAUAAUCUUCAUUAACACAUUAAAACAACAUAACAUCACUGUCUUUUUUCCUGAAAAGCCUUAACAACACUCAUCGAUUGUGUUAAUAUAUUGUCUUUUGCAAUGCCUGUAGUCGGGUGCAUUAGGUUUGUACUGUAAUAUGGCUUUAGUAAAUGAACAACAUACGUAGGUGUAAAGGCAUUAUCAGAAGCGGAAAGUCGCUAUGGUGAAAAAUAGUCAAAUAGGCUGCUUUUUCAGGCGUUAGGUUAGCUUCUAACUAACUCAGCCGUGUACGUACUGUAAGUGGAACAGGAAAUGAAACUCAAAUGAUCUUAUUUCUGGAGGAAAAGACUCAAAAAGCACUGCUGUAGACAAACAUUGUAUUUUCUAGCAUGGGUAGGAAGAGCAUAUAUGGUCACGUUUAAUUUAGAGCACCUCCGCUGGGAUAUAAGGCAACUACAGACAGUCUAGGUGGGUUUUACCCAUCGGGUUUGAACGUUCAUCCUGUUUUUGAACUGUUUUUUAAACUUCUGAAGUGACAUCUUCAUCAGGCUCCCCUGUGACAUUAGAACGUUAACAAGUCGCUUCAGGGAAAUGUCAACAAGUUUCCUCAAUCUGGACGAUGCAUACCCGCCACAGUAAACUUACUUUGGCUGCUUGUGGAAACAGUUUGUACUUGCAGUGUAUUUAUACACACCGUCCUUCUGCUUACGCCCACAGUCGGUGUUGAUGGUGUCAACAUUGCACCUUAUCCUUUGCACCAUACGACGCACGUCUCCUUGACUUUAUCAGCGACCAGUCUUAACAGACCUUUGAUUUCAGAGGUUGGCUCUUUCAUGAUUCUUGUCUGGCUUAAAUGUUUGCACGAAUCACUGAACUAAAUUUGACAGGAAAUGCAAUUGAAAUCCUUUUGUGCCUAAUUGGCAACAGGAUCAUUACAAGAGCGAUUAACCAGGCGUCGUGGCUCAGAGUGGUGACUCAGGGUUCUGACGGUGCGCUGAUAACAUGGUGUUUGUGUGUCUGCAUCAACAAGACAUUGGCCUGGAGCCAGUCACUUCAAUAUCCUAUUACACUUGGUGUCAAACAGAAACACAGAUGGAUGAAGGAACUCCCAACACAUCCUGACACAUUCGGUCACGUCGGCCUUCGCUCUGAUCGGUGAGAUGAAAGAUUUUCUCAUGCUCCGGUGGUGAAGGUCAGACUAAGCUACAGAGCAGUGACCUGAAUGGAGAAUUUGAAGAAUGAAAAUGAUACGUUCUCUAAACCAAGAGUGCUGAAACAGAAAUCGUGUUUCUUUUUCUCACUUUCACAUUUCUCUCCUUCCCCCAAAAACUGGAUUAACUCUUCGAUGUUCUUGUAUCUACCUGAUUACAAUGUUGUCCUCUUGUCUGUAUAUUUGACAUCUAUUAAGAACUAUAAUUUAAUAAUACCUUACCAUCUCAUGAUAAACUAAUUAACCAAAAGGAAUUCAACAACAAACAAACAUGCAUUGACAUAAGCCAAUGCAUUGAAAAAACAAAAAUAUAUUUAUAUGUAUUUGAGACUUGAUCCAUACAGAAGUACUGGCUACCUCUGCAGAUUGAUGUGAUUCAAAUUGUAUCAUUUUUUUGCAAAAAAAAAAAA